UACAGAGGUCUCAAGCGUUGUUCGGAUUCAUUGGGCGUAAAGGGUGCGUAGGCGGCGCGGUAAGUCGGGUGUGAAAUCUCGGAGCUUAACUCCGAAACUGCAUUCGAUACUGCCGUGCUUGAGGACUGGAGAGGAGACUGGAAUUUACGGUGUAGCGGUGAAAUGCGUAGAUAUCGUAAGGAAGACCAGUGGCGAAGGCGGGUCUCGUGGACAGUUCCUGACGCUGGAGG
rnacentral:rRNA from 1 species